rnacentral:rRNA from 1 species
UACGUAGGGUGCGAGCGUUGUCCGGAAUUAUUGGGCGUAAAGAGCUCGUAGGCGGUCUGUCGCGUCGAUCGUGAAAACUUGGGGCUUAACCCUGAGCUUGCGGUCGAUACGGGCAUGACUGGAGUUCGGCAGGGGAGACUGGAAUUCCUGGUGUAGCGGUGAAAUGCGCAGAUAUCGGGAGGAACACCAAUGGCGAAGGCAGCUUGCUGGGACGGUACUGACGCUGAGGCGCGAAAGCGUGGGGAGCAAACAGG